GAUGAAGAACGUAGCGAAAUGCGAUAAGUAAUGUGAAUUGUAGAAUUCAGUGAAUCAUCGAAUCUUUGAACGCACAUUGCGCCCCCUGGAAUUCCGGGGGGCAUGCCUGUUCGAGCGUCUCAGGGACGAACCCUCGCGCGGGUGUACGCGCGGUCGUGGCUGCGGUGGCGUGCCCGAGGCGGCGGCCACCGCGCUGGAAUCCAUGGGCGGACGCCUGCCGCGUGGCCGAGCGUGAUAUGACGCAUUGGCGCUCGCACGCGGCGAGGCUGCCAGCCCUGGCCCGUCUGUCGGGCGGGGGAGAGCAAGACACGUGAACUCCUCGAAUCAGGUAGGGAUACCCGCUGAACUUAAGCAUAUCAAUAAGCGGAGGA
rnacentral:misc_RNA from 1 species